AUUGAACGCUGGCGGCAUGCCUUACACAUGCAAGUCGAACGGCAGCACGGGAGCAAUCCUGGUGGCGAGUGGCGAACGGGUGAGUAAUAUAUCGGAACGUGCCCAGUCGUGGGGAUAACGUAGCGAAAGCUACGCUAAUACCGCAUACGAUCUACGGAUGAAAGCGGGGGAUCGCAAGACCUCGCGCGAUUGGAGCGGCCGAUAUCAGAUUAGGUAGUUGGUGAGGUAAAGGGCUUCACCAAGCCGACGAUCUGUAGCUGGUCUGAGAGGACGACCAGCCACACUGGGACUGAG
rnacentral:rRNA from 1 species